rnacentral:rRNA from 1 species
GUGCCUAACACAUGCAAGUCGAACGCGAGGGUCCCGCAAGGGACUAGUAGAGUGGCAAACGGGUGAGUAACACGUGGGUGACCUGCCUUCGAGUGGGGGAUAACGUCCCGAAAGGGACGCUAAUACCGCAUGACAUCCUGCCGUUGAAACCGGUGGAGAUCAAAGCUGGGGAUCGCAAGACCUAGCGCUUGAAGAGGGGCCCGCGUCCGAUUAGCUAGUUGGUGGGGUAACGGCUCACCAAGGCGACGAUCGGUAGCCGGCCUGAGAGGGCGGACGGCCACACUGGGACUGAGUAUCGGCCCAGA